UACGUAGGGUCCGAGCGUUGUCCGGAAUUAUUGGGCGUAAAGGGCUCGUAGGCGGUCUGUUGCGUCGGGAGUGAAAACUUACAGCUUAACUGUGAGCGUGCUUUCGAUACGGGCAGACUUGAGGCAUUCAGGGGAGAACGGAAUUCCUGGUGUAGCGGUGAAAUGCGCAGAUAUCAGGAGGAACACCGGUGGCGAAGGCGGGUCUCUGGGACG
rnacentral:rRNA from 1 species